rnacentral:tRNA from 1 species
GGGACGGUAGCUCAGUGGGAGAGCAAGCGACUGAAGCUCGCUGUGUCGGGGGUUCGAUUCCCUCCCGUCCCA